rnacentral:tRNA from 1 species
GGGGAUUUAGCUCAAUGGUGGAGCGCUUGCCUAGCAAGCACAAGGCCCUGGGUUCGGUCCCCAGCUCCG